rnacentral:rRNA from 1 species
AUUCCAGCUCCAAUAGCGUAUAUUAAAGUUGUUGCAGUUAAAAAGCUCGUAGUUGGAUUUCUGGUCUGAUGCCCUGGCCCGCUUCGAUUUCGAGGUGAGUGCCGGCUGUGCGUCUACCAUCCUUCUAGAAAACGUUCCUACCCUUAAUUGGGCCGGGUUCGCGAUCUAGAUCUUUUACUUUGAAAAAAUUAGAGUGUUUAAAGCAGGCUUGAGCUAUGAAUACAUUAGCAUGGAAUAAUAAUCUAGGACUUCGGUUCUAUUUUGUUGGUUUCUAGUACUGAAGUAAUGAUUGAUAGGGAUCGUUGGGGGUGCUAGUAUUGAGCGGCCAGAGGUGAAAUUCUUGGAUUCGCUCAAGACUAACUUAUGCGAAAGCAUUCACCAAGGAGGUCUUCAUUA